rnacentral:misc_RNA from 1 species
UUUUGGAUCCUUUUGAGCCACAACAACUUAAUGGGGGGAGAGAGAGAGAGUGGGAGGGAGCAUUGUGGAAGCAUCAAAUAUGCAAGUGAUCUGUACCUAUGAUCAUAUUAUUUGUAUAUUGCCUUCAGUUAUUGGGCGAUCAACCCUUUGGCACAAUGAUUUUUAAUGAAAUUGAAUAAACCUGCCGUCUCUAUUAGGGUAAGGGUUUUCACUUUCCGAAAAAGAUCUUCCUCUCCCCCACCCUCCUAGCCCAAAUACCUGCUUUUAGAGAGAGAGAGAGAG